rnacentral:rRNA from 1 species
GAUACCUCCAAAACGAGCGGACGACGCGGAACCGGCUCUCUUCUCGUACGCCCAGCCCUAUCGCCUCUCCUCGCUGCGCCGCCUCCCCCUCGUCUCUCUCUCUCUCUCCCUCGAUCUGCGCCGCCCCGCCCCGCCCCGCCUUCCCCCGAUUCUUUCCCUCGCCGCGGCUGACUCCUCCCCUCUUGAUCUACAGCACAUGAGGGAAGCAGGCCGUCCUUUCUCUCGAUCUGGAGCUGCGUGACGGUAGUUUUGCAGAGGGGUUGCAGCUGGGCGGCGGUGUAGGCGUGCUUCCGGCGAGCUAACAACGGCGGUAGAGGCUCCUCUCCUCAAGAUUUUGUUGCUGCAACCUCUACAAUCUACCUCAUACAUUGGUCAAGCGUGCUGCUGCUGCUACUCCAAGGCAGGAUGCCACACUGAAGCCAAAUGCACAAAUUAUCCCAAAGAAGGCAGCAUACAUUUGUUCAGAUCAAAUCAGCUCAGAGUUAGCCAAUACCGAAUCAGUGUUUUUCUUUACCUUUGGCGUCAUGUACACAGAAAAGAAAACGCCUACGAAGAUCCUGAUUUCCGU